rnacentral:rRNA from 1 species
AGUAACGCGUGAGGAACCUGCCUUUCGGAGGGGGACAACAGUUGGAAACGACUGCUAAUACCGCAUAACACAUAGGUGUCGCAUGGCAUUUAUGUCAAAGAUUUAUCGCUGAAAAGAUGGCCUCGCGUCUGAUUAGCUAGUUGGUGAGGUAACGGCUCACCAAGGCGACGAUCAGUAGCCGGACUGAGAGGUUGGCCGGCCACAUUGGGACUGAGAUACGGCCCAGACUCCUACGGAAGGCAGCAG